rnacentral:tRNA from 1 species
GUCGUUGUGAUCUAGUGGUUGGGACAUUGGGUCGUGGACGCAAUAAUCUAGGUUCAAAUCGUGGCAGCGACA